CGUGUAGGCGGAUGUUUAAGUCAGAGGUCAAAUCCCGGGGCUCAACCUCGGAACUGCCUUUGAUACUGAGCAUCUAGAGUACGGGAGAGGUGAGUGGAACUCCGAGUGUAGAGGUGAAAUUCGUAGAUAUUCGGAAGAACACCAGUGGCGAAGGCGACUCACUGGCCCGUUACUGACGCUUAAGCGCGAAAGCGUGGGGAGCAAACAGGAUUAGAUACCCUGGUAGUCCACGCCGUAAACGAUGAGUGCUAGUUGUCGGCAUGCAUGCAUGUCGGUGACGCAGCUAACGCAUUAAGCACUCCGCCUGGGGAGUACGGUCGCAAGAUUAAA
rnacentral:rRNA from 1 species